GAUGAAGAACGCAGCGAAAUGCGAUAAGUAAUGUGAAUUGCAGAAUUCAGUGAAUCAUCGAAUCUUUGAACGCACAUUGCGCCCGUCAGUAUUCUGGCGGGCAUGCCUGUUCGAGCGUCAUUACGCCCCUCAAGUCCCCUGUGGACUUGGUGUUGGGGAUCGGCGAGGCUGGUUUUCCAGCACAGCCGUCCCUUAAAUUAAUUGGCGGUCUCGCCGUGGCCCUCCUCUGCGCAGUAGUAAAACACUCGCAACAGGAGCCCGGCGCGGUCCACUGCCGUAAAACCCCCCAACUUUUUAUAGUUGACCUCGAAUCAGGUAGGACUACCCGCUGAACUUAAGCAUAUCAAUAAGCGGUGGA
rnacentral:misc_RNA from 1 species